UUUCAAAACAGUGAUUACAUAUAUGCAUAUGCACAUGUAACCCAAACAAAGGAAGCACACAAUUAUAUUUAGAAGUGUUGUCAAUCUGUAUUGGGGAAAGCAGAGACCAGAGUCCUACAUGCUGAUAGCUACCGAGAAGUCAUCACAUUCAGCAAUGCUGGAGAGUUGUUAAGCUCUAACCUGAAUCUCCUCUCCAAAGGCGAGAAACGAUGCUGGGUAUCUCCAAAGGCGGAGGCUUCCUGCCUCCAGCACAUGCAAGGAAACAAGGCAGCAAAUCAACCCAAGGCUAUUCCACAACCCAGGCAGAGUGAGGAAACUGGAAAAGCAGAGCUCCAACUGGGCAGAGCCAGAACCACAGAGGAAAAAGACAAGAUUCCUGCACUCAGGCAGUGGGGAACACUGGCCAUCCAGCCUAGAUGCAGCUCUGUGGCAUUUCUGGGAUCCUAGAGGGAGAAGGCUGCCAUCCUUACCAGGAUUCAUCCCGACUACUUGCCCCCAGUCAGAUGUUCUCCUCAGCCAAAUCACCCAAGGGUCAGACAGUUCCUAGUUAAUUAAUUACUGCUCUGUUCAUCCGGGUUCUCUGAUAUCAUGAUUAGUGCUUCCUCUUAACAAAGUUCAAGGGAGGCUGAGAUUUCCAGAAAAAUUCUUACUAACCUUCUGAAAGCCCAUGAGCAGUUUGAAGAGGUUCUUUCUCCAUGUCAAAAAGGGCAAUCAAGUCUCUGCAUGAGAGCCCUGCCUAGGCUACUUGAUCCACAAGGGCCCAGCUGCCCCCAGAUGGACAAAAGCAGCUGCCACUGAGGAACAAAGCCAAGUGGGGCAGCCAGGCCCAGUAUUUGUUUACACAGGGCCCCCUUAUACAGGCAGUACAGUCUCCAGACAAAGUGGUCAAAGUUGAUCACCACCUUUCUACCCUUCUGAUAGAGGAAGGUACUAUGCAGAGGCUACAAGUGUCACUAGCAAGAACUGACCCCAAGCUCAGGGACCUGUUUUCAACCCAUCAAACCAGAAACUUGAAGACAAAGACCAAAAGUUCCCCAGGUGUGGCAGAUACUGCAGCACAAGGAAGAAAUCACUACUCAGGAGGA